rnacentral:rRNA from 1 species
AUUGAACGCUGGCGGCAGGCUUAACACAUGCAAGUCGAACGUGCGGCGGACGGGUGAGUAAUUUCUGGGACAAUUCCUGAUGGAGGGGUAUAACUACUGGAAACGGUAGCUAAUACCUCAUACCAUCAGCUGUCCCCAGAUGGGAUUGGCUAGUAGGUGGGGUAAUGGCUCACCUAGGCGACGAUCCCUAGCUGGUCUGAGAGGAUGACCAGCCACACGGGAACUGAGACAAGGUCCAGACUCCUACGGGAGGCAGCAGUGGGGAAUAUGGCACAAUGGGCGCAAGCCUGAUGCAGCCAUGCCGCGUGUGUGAAGAAGGCCUUCGGGUUGUAAAGCACUUUCAGCGAGGAGGCGUUACUCGCAGAAGAAGCACCGGCUAACUCCGUGCCAGCAGCCGCGGUAAUAC